rnacentral:rRNA from 1 species
CAGGCCAGCAUCAGUUUGGGCGGUCGGAAAAAGGCUUUGGGAAUGUAGCUCCUCUCGGGGAGUGUUAUAGCCCAUCGUGAAAUACGGCCCGCCCGGACUGAGGUCCGCGCUCUGCUAGGAUGCUGGCGUAAUGGCUGUAAGCGG